UAGGGCAGAGUGUUUCACGUGGCCUAUUUUCACGACCCAGAGUUCCCCUGACCAGAGGGGCUUUUUUUUCUCUCUCUUCUUCAGGGAGGGAUUAUGGGUUUGUGGGGACCCCCCCCCGGGAAAGGAAGUGUCUACGUGGCUUGCUGAAAUAGGAUAGGCGGAAAUGAGCUAAGGUUCCCGCGAGUGGGGAAGCGCGGGGUCAUAUCGAGGGCCACGCCCCCGAGGCUGUUGCGCAACUCUCGGGGAAGGACGAAAAAGGCGCAAUGGAGGUUUUGAUAGCCUCAAAACACUAUGCUUAAAGGUAUCCCAUUCUCUGCAUUGGCGUAUCAGGAGGAGGGUAGAAAAGCAAACCAAGUAAAUGGGUCUCACUACACAGCUCAGACUCAGUGAUCC